AUGCCAAACACAAAAGGAGGUGAUCCUACUACCAAAAUGCCGUCCCCAAGAGCCAGCACACAGCAGCCAAGCAAGCCCGCAUCACCAAGAGCUGGCUUUCAGCAACCAUUAACACAAGAGGAGGUGUUCAAGAUUAUAAGUAGGUGCAAGCCUCCAAGGCCGCCAACUACAACACUAUUGCGAACCAAGUCAGUGAAUGAUGCACCCGUGUUUGUGCCACAAGGAGAUGCCCUGGUCCUUGAACCCAUACGAAGAUCAAAGUCUUAUCAUGGUGACGGGUUCUGUGAUGCACCAUCUUUUGACCUCGGCAUAGAUGGUCAUGCUCCAGCACCUGCUCCAGCAGCAGAAACAACGGAAGCCGGUGUGAUUUGUAUUGAUGAGUCAUCUCAAAGAUCUCCAUUCAUUGACUACAACAAGAAGAAGACUUUCAGCUCCAAUGAGGCAGUGAACAAGCUUUACGAUGCCCUCUUGUAUUGGGUCAGGCAUCACGAAUGA
rnacentral:rRNA from 1 species